GCGGCUAUAGCUCAGUUGGUUAGAGCGCCUGGUUGUGGUCCAGGAGGUCAUGGGUUCGAAUCCCAUUAGUCGCC
rnacentral:tRNA from 1 species